AUACAGAGGGUGCGAGCGUUAAUCGGAUUUACUGGGCGUAAAGCGUGCGUAGGCGGCUUUUUAAGUCGGAUGUGAAAUCCCUGAGCUUAACUUAGGAAUUGCAUUCGAUACUGGGAAGCUAGAGUAUGGGAGAGGAUGGUAGAAUUCCAGGUGUAGCGGUGAAAUGCGUAGAGAUCUGGAGGAAUACCGAUGGCGAAGGCAGCCAUCUGGCCUAAUACUGACACUGAGGUACGAAAGCAUGGGGGGCAAACAGGCUUAGAUACCCUGGUAGUCCAUGCCGUAAACGAUGUCUACUAGCCGUUGGGGCCUUUGAGGCUUUAGUGGCGCAGCUAACGCGAUAAGUAGACCGCCUGGGGAGUACGGCCGCAAGGUUGAA
rnacentral:rRNA from 1 species